rnacentral:rRNA from 1 species
CCUACGGGUGGCAGCAGUGAGGAAUAUUGGUCAAUGGACGAGAGUCUGAACCAGCCAAGUAGCGUGAAGGAUGACUGCCCUAUGGGUUGUAAACUUCUUUUAUAUGGGAAUAAAAUGUUCCACGUGUGGGAUUUUGUAUGUACCAUAUGAAUAAGGAUCGGCUAACUCCGUUCCAGCAGCCGCGGUAAUACGGAGGAUUCGAGUGUUAUCCGGAUUUAUUGGGUUUAAAGGGAGCGUAGGUGGAUUGUUAAGUCAGUUGUGAAAGUUUGCGGCUCAACCGUAAAAUUGCAGUUGAAACUGGCAGUCUUGAGUACAGUAGAGGUGAGCGGAAUUCGUGGUGUAGCGGUGAAAUGCUUAGAUAUCACGAAGAACUCCGAUUGCGAAGGCAGUUCACUGGACUGCAACUGACACUGAGGCUCGAAAGUGUGGGUAUCAAACAGGAUUAGAUACCCCUGUAGUC